UGGACAGCCAGGCUCACCCAUCAUUAGACAUGAUCAUUUUCAAAGUCCUUCUAAUUCUAACAGUCUAUGAAGCAAGUCCCUGAGUCAAAAAAGGAAUUUAUUAACUGCGUCGAUUUAGAUGGACCACCAAAAGUUCCUUAUUGCUGUGACUUAAGACUGACUAUUAAUGAAUUGUCCUGCUUAAGAAGUCACUUUUUAUCUGGACUUCGAAUCUCAUUGCCUCGGGAGUCUGGACACAGAGACUCGGUCUUCGUUUCCACAGACAGAGGAAGGAAGGGAACUCACUUUCCAGCAUGCAAUCAUGGGGCACCCUGACCACAGGGGGAUCUUUCAAGGGACCUCAGGCCAACCUCUACAACAGUCACAAAAGGCUCUGUUACGUCCUAACCCAUGACAUGGCAGUCUGAACACCCUACACUUGCCAGAAGGGGCCUGGAAACCUGCAGAGAGUUGUUUUGUGACCUGCCUUUGGGGCCAUGCAGCA